UAAAUUUCCUUCAUGCCCCAAGGGUACGUAGGCAGGGCAUGGAAAACACAGAUUCAACCCCAAAGAAGAGGAAAAAGAAGAGGCCCAAUGAGAAGAGGACCCAGGUUGAACUACGCAUGCGGGAGGAUAUCCAUGAUCUUGAGCUUACCUAUUGGAGAUUGGCUAGAGGGACUUGGAGUACUGAGCGAGGAAACAUGAGGGAGAUUAAGGCGUUGUAUGGAGAAAUAUUUAGGCUGCAUGAGCUGUUGGAGGAGAUUGGGGUGGAUAAAGGACUGAUCAAGCAGCGCUACACCUCCUCCAUUCUUCGACCUAUCUCCCCGACCCGGUGGAGUGCCACCACCCACCUCAAGCAACGCUACACCUCCUCCAUUCUUCGACCCAUCUCCCCGACACAGGGGAGUGCCACCACCAACCUCUGGGUCUAGGGCUUGCUUGUGUGCCUGCUUGCUCCUUGGGUCGUCCUUCCUCCCCUCUGCAGAUCCAACACCAGUCCCAGCACUAACCCCAGCAUCCGACCACCACUCGAGGUGCGGUGGGACCAAAGAUCGAACCUUCACCCAGAGUGAGCAGGCCACAGGAAGGUGCCAGCCCUAAUCUUACGGCCUUGGACUCCCUUGUGUGCCUGCUUGCUCCUCAGGUUGUCAUUUCUCCCCUCUACAGUCCCAGAUCCAAUCCAGCACAAACACCAGUUCCCGGUUACCGUCCCAGUACUAGUACCGGCUCCAGUACCAGCACGGUUUCCAGCCCCGGCCACAGCACCAGCAUGAUUGGAGAUUGUGAAUUACUCACCAUAUGAUUACAUUCUGUAUGGAUUGGAGGCAUUGCUUCCAAUGAGCGACUGGAGGACACCAUGGAGGAAGAGGGAGAGUGUCCAUGAUAGGUAGUUUGCCAUGGCCCUAAAUGGGCUUUUGGAUUUUUAUUUUUCCUAUAUCAAAUAACUUCACAAUAAA